UACGUAGGGUGCGAGCGUUAAUCGGAAUUACUGGGCGUAAAGGGCGCGUAGGCGGCCUUCUAAGUCGAACGUGAAAUCCCCAGGCUCAACCUGGGAACUGCGUCCGAUACUGGAUGGCUUGAAUCCGGGAGAGGGAUGCAGAAUUCCAGGUGUAGCGGUGAAAUGCGCAGAUAUCAGGAGGAACACCGAUGGCGAAGGCAGGUCUCUGGGCAUUAACUGACGCUGAGGAGCGAAAGCAUGGGGAGCGAACAGG
rnacentral:rRNA from 1 species